rnacentral:misc_RNA from 1 species
GCGAGACGACGCCGGGCUCGACAGACCGCGCAAGGACAGGAUGAAGAGGACGCCAGCGACGAGAUAGAGCAGCGCUGCGAGAUUCGCGUUCAUGUUCCCUGCCCCGUCACUUCUGCUUUUUCUUGUACAUCGCCAGCAUGCGCUGGGUCACAAGGAAGCCGCCAAAUAUGUUGAUGCAUGCAAAAACCAGCGCGACGAAACCGAACGCGCGCGCCCAGAGCGGACCGUCGUCGUUGCCGACCAGCGCGACGCCGGUCGCCAGCAGCGCACCGACCACGA